rnacentral:lncRNA from 1 species
AAGCAGAGUUUCACCUGGUAAUUAACACUCUUUAUAAAUCAAUUUCUAUAUAUUAAGUACACAAAUUUAUAUUAAGUCCAUUAGAUUGAAUUUCAAAAAUAAAUUGAGACCUCUAUUAGUUAGAAUGUAUAAGUACACAUAUUUAUAUAGAAAAAGAAAUUAUUUUUUACAAAAGGGUUAUUGAAAAAAACUCAGCACAUUUAUUAUAAUUUUCUUAACUCACUGCUCUACCUUUGUUUCCCUCAAUCACGUUCAGACCAGCCAUUCCUUUCCCUUUUGUGCUUAUAUUUUUUAUUUCUAUCGGUUUCAAAAACUUGCUUUAACAAGAACCAUGAAUGCUCUAGACAUUGAUUUAUUUAUAAUUGCAUCUUUUUUGUGAUUUGCUAGUGGAAGUUACCUCUAAUAUUAGCUUUGAAGUUCGAACUGGGAACAUUUAUAACCUCUCUUUGUGCUCUAAUGCUGUUGUUUCCGCCACUACUGAAGAUUUAAUUUUUUUUGUUGAUGUCACAUGCUUUGCCAAUGGCUCAACCGGAUGAGCAUUACUUAUGACAGAGCUGGACCUGUCUCGGUGUCUGCUUGCAAGUUGGAAGGAAUCAAAGUGGAGCCUUUGCUAGCUUCUUGGACUGAGAUGUUGCCUACAAAUGGUAGUGGAGCUCAACAUGCAGAAAAUAACAAUCUCAACUGGUGCAGUCACUGUCACAAACUGUCUGAAUUUGAAUUUAUGUAUUGCUGCCAUUGAUCCUUUAAUUACUGAUCGUAAACAUCGCACGGGCUGUAGACUAGUAGUUAUGGAACCAAACACAUACACAUGUAUCUAUAUCACUUUCUAUGUGUUAAAAAAUGCUUAGUGUAUUGAUUGUAUUUUCAUUUAUCUAUUGAAAAAUUCUUAUUUGGCUAUUAUCGUGCUUGUGGGUUACGUAUGCUUAUGUGGUAACUGAAUCAUUA